AACGACUCUCGACAACGGAUAUCUCGGCUCUCGCAUCGAUGAAGAACGUAGCGAAAUGCGAUACUUGGUGUGAAUUGCAGAAUCCCGUGAACCAUCGAGUCUUUGAACGCAAGUUGCGCCCGAAGCCACUAGGCUGAGGGCACGCCUGGCCUGGGUGUCACGC
rnacentral:rRNA from 1 species